UUUAAAUGUAAAUUUAUUGUUCAAAGAAGUAUUAGUUAUGAUCUUGAAAUUUAAAAAUUUUGGCGGUAUUUUAGUCUAUUCAGAGGAAUCUGUUCUAUAAUCGAUAGUCCACGAUAUAAUAUACUUAAUUUAAAAAUUUGUAUAUCGUUGUUAUUAAAUAUCUUAUAAGAGUAAAUGUUUAAGAAUUUUUUUAAAAAAGAUUUCAAAUCAAGGUGCAGUUUAUAGUUAAGAAGAAAUGGGUUACAAUAAAUUUAUUUAAAUGGAUUUAUAUAUGAAAUAUAUAAUGAAGGUGGAUUUGAAAGUAAUAUAAUUUAUUUUAGUUAUAUGAUUUUAGCUCUAAAA
rnacentral:rRNA from 1 species